rnacentral:rRNA from 1 species
GACGAACGCUGGCGGCGUGCUUAACACAUGCAAGUCGAGCGGGGUCCAACCAGUGGCAACACUGGGGAAGGCCUAGCGGCGAACGGGUGAGUAACACGUGAGCAACCUGCCCCGAAGUUCGGGAUAACACCGGGAAACCGGUGCUAAUACCGGGUGCCCCCAUCUGACCGCAUGAUCGGAUGAGGAAAGGCUAUGUCUAAUAAACAUGGCCCGCUUCGGGAGGGGCUCGCGGGCUAUCAGCUUGUUGGUGAGGUAACGGCCCACCAAGGCGACGACGGCUAGCUGGUCUGAGAGGACGACCAGCCACACUGGGACUGAGACACGGCCCAGACUCCUACGGGAGGCAGCAGUGGGGAAUCUUGCGCAAUGGGCGAAAGCCUGACGCAGCAACGCCGC